rnacentral:tRNA from 1 species
AGUAGCUCAGUCGGUUAGAGCAUCUGACUGUUAAUCAGAGGGUCGCUGGUUCAAGUCCAGCCU